GAAGGAAGAGGCCACAGCAUCUGUCUCCCUCCGCUUUGGGAAGCAACUCCGCUGUAUCUUCGAGUGUCCAGCCCCUCGGAAGUUCCCGUUUCCGCUGGGUGGUCCUGGAUCCUGGACUCUGGUGCAGCCUAAUUCCCCUCUCCUGGACCAGGAGGCAGAACUGGCUUUGUGACUCACCUCUGUCUAGGAGAAUGUGGCAAAUGUGACAAUGUGUGACUUCUGAUGCUAAGUCAUAAAAGGCUGUCCCCAAACCACCGCGAGAUGGCCACCAGCAGCCUCAGGCUUCCAGCCGAGUUUUGCAUCAACCACACGGGAAGAACAAUGAACCAAAUGAAAAAUUACCUUUUCUCAGAGGUCCAGGAGGAACACCUGGGUGGCUCAGUUGGUUAAGCGUCCGACUUCGGCUCGGGUCAUGAUCUCGCGGUU